AUUGAACGCUGGCGGCAUGCCUUACACAUGCAAGUCGAACGGCAGCACGGGAGCAAUCCUGGUGGCGAGUGGCGAACGGGUGAGUAAUGUAUCGGAACGUACCUUUCAGUGGGGGAGUAACGUAGCGAAAGUUACGCUAAUACCGCAUAUUCUGUGAGCAGGAAAGCAGGGGAGUCGCAAGACCUUGCGCUGAUUGAGCGGCCGAUAUCAGAUUAGCUAGUUGGUGAGGUAAAGGCUCACCAAGGCGACGAUCUGUAGCGGGUCUGAGAGGAUGGCCAGCCACACUGGAACUGAGACACGGUCCAGACUCCUACGGGAGGCAGCAGUGGGGAAUUUUGGACAAUGGGCGCAAGCCUGAUCCAGCCAUGCCGCGUGAGUGAAGAAGGCC
rnacentral:rRNA from 1 species